rnacentral:tRNA from 1 species
GGAGCUGUGGCUCAGUGGUAGAGCACUGGCUUUGCAAGUAUGAAGCCCUGAGUUCCAGCCCCAGUACCGCCC